rnacentral:lncRNA from 1 species
AGGAAUGUAGGUAGACAUUUCACAUGACAGCUUUGGUGGAGCUCCUAGUGAGCACUCAGAAACAAUGGGGACGAGAGCGAGAAUGAUUCAACGUGCUUCCAGCGGCAAAAGUCAAACUGGCUAUGAGAGAAAGCUCGAGAGAGAUUGCCCAGCUAAAUGAAGGCCGCACCAGAAUCUGAGGUGCUGAUGCAACAUGACCAGCUCCCCUCAGGUUUCUGCUGCUAUGGCUUCAGUGCUAUGAUGGACUGUAACCUGAAACUGUGAGUUAAACGGGAUCGCUGAGGCUGCCGGGAGUCUUGAAGAAUGUCUCCCGAUGUCUCCGUUGGAUGCUCUUGGGAGUCGCUGGUGCGGGGGACUAAACAGAGGAGAAGCAGAAGGGAGGUGAUGUUUUGCGCUCCAAGAUGGGGAUCUUCUCCCGCCGGGUGUCACUAAGCUGCC